UACGGAGGGUGCAAGCGUUGUCCGGAAUCACUGGGCGUAAAGGGCGCGUAGGCGGCUCAUGAAGGCUGUGGUGAAAGUCCGGGGCUCAACCUCGGAUCGGCCGUGGCGACUCGUGGGCUGGAGCACUGUAGAGGCGGGUGGAAUUCCGGGGUGGUAGCGGUGGAAUGCGUAGAGAUCCGGAAGAACACCAGUGGCGAAGGCGGCCCGCGUGGGCG
rnacentral:rRNA from 1 species